GCCCGGUAAGAGGGGACCCACCGUGGGGGGGAGGAGGGAGGUAAUUGACCAGACCUGAGGAGGUGGGACGGAGGGUCCACACCCAUUGCAGCACUGCCACUAGGUGCCCUCUCAUCCUCAGUGGAAGCCCCACUACAGGGGUACAGUGGCAGGACAGGGGAGGGCGUGGCGUAGAAGGGGGGAGGUGGCUUGGGACGCCCUUCUCUUCUUCACCUUACUGCCACACAGACCCCUCCUUCAGUUUUCCUCCUUUUAUUCUCUCCCUGCUUCCAUUUCUCCUUCUCUCUCUUCCCCAAAAGAAGUUUAAAAUAUUGUUUCAACAGCUCCCUGACAGUUCAGGACCACACCCCCCCAGCCCAAUCAGCUGUAACAUCUUCCUGGAUUCUCAACAGCCUGAGGGAAACGAUCCUGAUUCACUCCUGAACUGGACCAGGCCUGAGCACCCAGGAGGCCCCAUGUGCCCCACCUCGAUCUAGCAGCCUGAAACUUUCCAAGCCCCCCUGCAAAUCCAGGACCACAGCCCUCCAACCAAAUCAGCUCUAACUUCUUUCUGGAUUCUGAACAGCCUAAAGAGAACAAUUCCGAAGCACUCCUGACUUCACCUCAACUCACACAACCCCAGGCCCAUGUCUCGGGAUGUCUCCUGAAGCCUGGGAUUGGCUCUGAUGGCCACUUGAGCCACCCCUCCUCCUUCUUGCUCUCCAAAGAAAACCUGUUCUUCCUUCAAACACUGGAUUUAUGAAUAAAUGUUCAAAUCCCAUCUCCAACC